rnacentral:tRNA from 1 species
ACCUGGGUGGCUCAGCUGGUUAAGCGUCUGACUUCGGCUCAGGUCAUGAUCUCACUGUUUGUGGGUUCGAGCCCCGCAUCAGGCU